AUCCCCUUUACAAUUUUUUCCUAUGGAUGAACUACCCAUUGUUCUAUGUAGCAACGGUAGGAGCAACUAAUGGAGAAGCGACAUCCUAAUUAUAUGCACGUUGUUCAUACUAACCUACUAAAGCUACCCGUAAUGGUCAACAUGUAAUCCGAGUAAAACAGCACAGCUAGUUUCCAUUAAUUAUGCCACCCGUAUUUUUAUAUGCUCGCUGCGCAGAUUACCGCCACUCACAGAUGCUGCAAAGUGGAAAAGCUAAUUUAAAUGCUCGCUUCCAUACCAGAUUGCUAUCCUUAUUUUUUUUUUCUCGCACUCCAAUGUCUAAAUCUGUGAAACAGUCCGUAAAUCAUUAUCACGCAGCUUUUUCACCGGCGCUGAAGAAUCAGCGUUCCGUCGAAUGUUUCAAUUUGCGAAUAGCAACGGACCAAACGAGAAAAGUUUAACCUUUCCUCAAACGAAGUUUUUCGUUGUUUGUUUAUACGUUUUUUCCCGCAUCCUGUAAGCACCACACAGAGUUUUGAUUAGCCGAAAUCGUGAACUCAAUUCAUUAGCACCUAUGAACGUGAUUUUUUUAAUGGUUUCUUCGGAAGAAAAUGUUCUAAAAAUACAGCGCAAAUAUUCUUGGUAAAUGUGAGUUCGCAACUUAGACAUAGGCAGCGCUGUAAAAUUAAACUUUCUUAAAUGACGAUUCAGGGGUAUUGAAGUUAAAACUAUAAUGAGAUUUAUUGUUUCCUUCUAUUUUUCGGAUCAAUUUGGACAAAAAAAAAAAUGAAUGUUUUUCUCAUGUGAACCACAAAAUGUUUCGUAAAACGGUGUAUAAUUCACUGUGGCUACAUUUUGAGAUAUGGCCAAAACCCUUCAACCCUAUGCGCUAAUGGUGCUACUGAAUAAAGUUCACGAUUUCGGUCAAUCUUCAAACUCUGUGCACCCGUUCCCCCGUUCCGUAUUGCAUCACUGUGUCGUCAUCGGCACCAACCAACAACGGCAACGUGAACGCUUGGCCCCGGCUAGCUAGUGCCAGUAGGAGUAAUUCAUGCCCGGCUUAAUUACAUGUUAACGUUGUUUGGAACCAGUUUGUUUUCCUUCUGUUUUGCGUCGGUUUGGGGGGGUUUGCAGGAGGGGAGUUUCCUCUUCCGCUUUUCUAGUGCUCGGAACAUCCGGUUCUGGCGGAGGAUGAAGGAAAAAUAUAUGUUGGCUCUUCCGGCUAGCAAAGUGUGCACUGCGAAUCGGGUCACAUUAACGGAGCGAAGCAGCAGCCAUUUAUUUUCAUGCACAAUCUGAAGGAUUAUCUUGCACCCGUGGAAGUGCUCUGCUUGUUAGGAUUAAACGAGGACGUAGGUACGGGUUGAGCUCGGUGCCGCAGUACGGUUGCGAAAUAUUUUAAUUUGUUUUGCCCUCCGUAUCAACCACCGGCCGAUUCUGGUGUUGGUUCAGGUGGGAUAAAUAUCGAUAGGAGCAGAAU